UCCUAGAAACAGCUAAGGUGCAAGGGAACAAAAAGAUUAAGAAGGUUCCAACAUUGACUCCCUAAAUUAGCUGGCCGCUUGUAAAGAAUCGGUUUUCUUAACAAGCCUGCUUUCAGGUUUGAGUGGGAGAGCAAAUUCCGGGAAGUCCCAUAAAAAGGUAUGGAUUUAAUCAAUUGUGGAAUAGAUAUUCCCCAGACAAGAAGUCUCAUGGAGAGAAAUUCAAAGCAAUGUUAUAAUUCCAUUGGGCACCAAUGGAAAAAAAAAAUACUAGUAACCUUAUUGUUCUUUUUGGGCCUGUUUGAUUCUCCAAGGAUAUCACCCUGUUCAACGAGGAAAUUCAUGACUAUUGCCAAGGGAGCCAAGGCUGAGUACCAAAUGGCACAGUUGCAAUGAAUCCAGCACAGAAGCCCCACAUGGGAAAAAGAUUCUAUUCCAGAGCAACCUAAUGAGAAUCUCCAAGAACAAGAAAGAAAGAAAGAAAGAAAGAAAGAAAGAAAGAAAGAAAGAAAGAAAGAAAAAGAAAAAGAAUCUCUAGAGCAAGUCUGGAAAUGUACAUGCAUCACAAAUUUCCCUAGUGAUUCUUAUGUAAGUGGCUGACAGCAGAGUUCCCCAUAUCCAUCCUAUUGGAGAUGAUCUUUUCUUUCCUUUUAAUACAAACAUUCUAUAUCCUGAGAG